rnacentral:lncRNA from 1 species
CCCGGGUGCAGACAUGGCACCGCUUGGCUAAGCCAUACUGUGAUUGAGCAUGGAUUAUUUGCAUCAACUGUAGAAAGCAAUUCAUGAACAAAGAAAAGUCCACAGUUUGGGAGAAUAGACCAGAAUAUGAGAGAGGAGGCAAAACACAUCAUAUUCUUGGGAAGGAAGAUGGCAGAAGCUGCAUUGGAAAACAGUCAGCUCUAUCCUUUGGCCAUAGCAUUCUGAAAAGAAGAGAAAUCUGAAAGCAUUCUACACCCACAGCGAGCAGCAAGCAGGCCUUCUUCUGAAUUAGCAGUCCCCAUCAUGUGAGGACACACAGCAGUUUCCUCCAGCAGAAUCACCAAGCCCUGCAGCAACCUCAGGAGCCAAGAGUGAGAAGAUCUCCUCGUCAGGGUGCAUGUAGGGGUGUGAAUUAAGUGAUAGUGGGAUUUCUGCUUAUUAUGGGACCCCGAGAGACCCUGGGACACAUGGGGACUUCGGUUAUUCUCAACCCGCCUACUGCAGAACUGAAAACAUUGGAUUGUUUUGCGAUUUUCUCUCUUUUUUUAAAUUUAACUUUGUUCAGACACACUGUAGUUAAGGCUUAUAAAGAGUCCAGUCUUUCAGUACAUUUCCAGGAUGGCAGCUAAAGCCAAGAAGGAAGCAAUCGCCCUCCACCUUCACCCCAUAGAAUAAGGUUACCUGCCCCUCCGUUCUGAAAACUGGUGGACUCCAAAGUUAAGCUUGUCAGAGCCUUCCUGCUUCGAGGCCUCCACAUCUCUUCUAGGCGGCUGCUGGACCUCAUCAGUCAGCUCAGUUUUACCCAAAUCUCAAGGGUCAAUCUCUACCGAUGUAGGAAGAAUUUACGCAGUUUUCAUGGUCUCAGUUUCUCCUCAAUGCUCUGGCUCUGAGUGGUACAUAAUCCUGUUUAAAUGCCUGGAUCCUUUCUUUCCAGAUAAAGCCCACUACCAGAUGGCUCAACAUCAGCUGGGCGUGUGCUCCUACAAGUCCCCCUGCUCCUUGGACCUCUCUGUUUUGGCCUGUCCCACUGGAUCUCUUGCUUCAUCUCGUGCUGUUUCCUCUGCCUGAAACCUUCUUCCUGUAGAUCUUUGCAUGACUCACUUCUGCCUACUAUUCAGGUCCAGCUUAAAUCUCAACUCCUCAGAGAACCCUGUUGUGAUUAAUUUACCUAAAACAUGGCAUACCUUUGCCAUUCUCUUUCACCUUACCUGCAAUUGUAGAAGUUAUUUAUUUACACUCAAUAAAUGAGAUAAUAAAUAUCUCUCUCCUCCACUAGAAUACAAAAUCUACAAAGGAGCCGCUUUGUCCUGUUUACCAUGAAAACCCCAGGACCUAGG